rnacentral:rRNA from 1 species
UACGUAGGGUCGCAAGCGUUGAUCCGGAAUGAUUGGGCGUAAAGCGUCUGUAGGUGGCUUUUAAGUCCGCCGUCAAAUCCCAGGGCUCAACCCUGGACAGGCGGUGGAAACUACCAAGCUGGAGUACGGUAGGGCAGAGGGAAUUUCCGGUGGAGCGGUGAAAUGCGUAGAGAUCGGAAAGAACACCAACGGCGAAAGCACUCUGCUGGGCCGACACUGACACUGAGAGACGAAAGCUAGGGGAGCGAAUGGGAUUAGAACCUUACCGGAGUCAAG